GAGAAGAGGAGGCUCAGGGGAGACCUUAUUGCUCUCUAUAAUUACCUGAAGGGAGGUUGUAGUGAGCUGGGGGUCGGCCUCUUCUCUCGUGUGACUAGUGAUAGGACUAGAGGGAAUGGCUUCAAGCUGUGCCAGGGAAGAUUCAGGCUGGAUGUUAGGAAAUACUACUUCUCUGAAAGGGUGGUCAGGCACUGGAAUGGGCUGCCCAGAGAGGUGGUGGAGUCACCGAGCCUGGUGGUGUUCAAAGAGCGUUUGGAUGUUGUGUUGAGGGACAUGGUUUAGCGAGAACCAUUGGUGAAGGGCGAAUGGUUGGACUGGAUGAUCCUGUGGGUCUUUUCCAACCUUAGCGAUUCUAUGAUUCUAUGAUUC
rnacentral:lncRNA from 1 species